AUUGAACGCUGGCGGAAUGCUUUACACAUGCAAGUCGAACGGCAGCACGGGGGCAACCCUGGUGGCGAGUGGCGAACGGGUGAGUAAUACAUCGGAACGUGCCCAGUCGUGGGGGAUAACGUAGCGAAAGUUACGCUAAUACCGCAUACGAUCUAUGGAUGAGAGCGGGGGACCGUAAGGCCUCGCGCGAUUGGAGCGGCCGAUGUCUGAUUAGCUAGUUGGCGGGGUAAAGGCCCACCAAGGCGACGAUCAGUAGCUGGUCUGAGAGGACGACCAGCAACACUGGGACGGAGACACGGCCAAGACUCCUACGGGAGGCAGCAGUGGGGAAUUUUGGACAAUGGGCGCAAGCCUGAUCCAGCCAUGCCGCGUGCGGGAAGAAGGCCUUCGGGUUGUAAACCGCUUUUGGCAGGAACGAAACGGCGCGGGCGAAUACCUCGUGUUAAUGACGGUACCUGCAGAAUAAGCACCGGCUAACUACGUGCCAGCCGCCGCGGUAAGAC
rnacentral:rRNA from 1 species